AGCGUGAGUCAGCUGGGCAGGGCUGCCUGCAACACUUCCUCAGCUCAUCCCAAACACCCCACUAUGGAGGGAACUGAACUGCUGAGGCAGAUAAUCCCAGAAGAAUCUCAUGUGGCCAUCCUAACCAGAAACAUACGAGAAAGAGAAUUCUGGGAACUGUAGUUUAAUCCAAAGUGAUGUAAUGCAAAGUGACCACGAUCAGCAUCUUUUCCAUUUGGCAUACAUCCACAUUUCAUGAAAAAACACUUAACCUCCAAAUAAAGGUAAUAACAAAGUCAGGCCUCUGCCUACCAAAUAGACAAUAUCUUGAGGACAAUCAAAAGCA
rnacentral:lncRNA from 1 species